UACGGAGGAUGCAAGCGUUAUCCGGAUUUAUUGGGUUUAAAGGGUGCGCAGGUUGUUUGAUAAGUCAGUGGUGAAAGUCUGUCGCUUAACGGUAGGAUUGCCAUUGAUACUGUUGGACUUGAAUAUGGAUGAGGUAGGCGGAAUGUGUAGUGUAGCGGUGAAAUGCAUAGAUAUUACACAGAACACCGAUUGCGAAGGCAGCUUACUAAUCCAUCAUCGACGCUGAGGCACGAAAGCGUAGGGAUCAAACAGGA
rnacentral:rRNA from 1 species